rnacentral:rRNA from 1 species
GUACAACUCUGAGCGGUGGAUCACUCGGCUCGUGUGUCGAUGAAGAGCGCAGCCAACUGUGUGAAUUAAUGUGACAUGCAUAUUGCUUUGAACAUCGACAUCUUGAACG